rnacentral:rRNA from 1 species
AUUGAACGCUGGCGGCAGGCCUAACACAUGCAAGUCGAGCGAGCGGCGGACGGGUGAGUAAUGUCUGGGAAACUGCCUGAUGGAGGGGGAUAACUACUGGAAACGGUAGCUCAUACCGCAUACCAUCAGAUGUGCCCAGAUGGGAUUAGCGAGUAGGUGGGGUAACGGCUCACCUAGGCGACGGUCCCUAGCUGGUCUGAGAGGAUGAACAGCGACACUGAAACUGAGACACGGGCCAGACUCCUACGGGAGGUAGCAGGGGGGAAUAGUGCACAAUGGGCGCAAGCAUGAUGCAGCCAUGCCGCGUGUGUGAAGAAGGCCUUCGGGUUGUAAAGCACUUUCAGCGGGGAGGCGUUACCCGCAGAAGAAGCACCGGCGAACUCCGUGCCAGCAGCCGCGGUAAUUC